rnacentral:misc_RNA from 1 species
UACGAAGGGGGCUAGCGUUGUUCGGAAUUACUGGGCGUAAAGCGCAUGUAGGCGGCUAUUCAAGCCAGGGGUGAAAUCCCGGAGCUCAACUCCGGAACUGCCUUUGGAACUGUUUAGCUAGAGUCUCGGAGGGGAUAGCGGAAUUCCUAGUGUAGAGGUGAAAUUCGUAGAUAUUAGGAGGAACACCGGUGGCGAAGGCGGCUAUCUGGACGAGUACUGACGCUGAGAUGCGAAAGCGUGGGGAGCAAACAGG